rnacentral:rRNA from 1 species
GACGAACGCUGGCGGCGUGCCUAAUACAUGCAAGUCGAGCGGACGGAUGGGAGCUUGCUCCCCGACCGUCAGCGGCGGACGGGUGGGUAACACGUGGGCAACCUGCCUGUAAGACUGGGAUAACUCCGGGAAACAGGGUCUAAUACCGGAUAACUCUUUCCCUCACGUGAGGGCAAGCUGAAAGCUGGCAUCUCGCUAUCACUUACAGCUGUGCCCGCGGCGCAUUAGCUAGUUGGUGAGGUAACGGCUCACCAAGGCGACGGUGCGUAGCCGACCUGAGAGGGUGAUCGGCCACACUGGGACUGAGACACGGCCCAGACUCCUACGGGAGGCAGCAGUAGGGAAUCUUCCGCAAUGGACGAAAGUCUGACGGAGCAACGCCGCGUGAGUGAUGAAGGUUUUCGGAUCGUAAAACUCUGUUGUCAGGGAAGAACAAGUACCGGAGUAACUGCCGGUACCUUGACGGUACCUGACCAGAAAGCCACGGCUAACUACGUG